CCUACGGGCUGCAGCAGUAGGGAAUCUUCGGCAAUGGACGAAAGUCUGACCGAGCAACGCCACGUGAGUGAAGAAGGCUUUCGGAUCGUAAAACUCUGUUGUUAGUGAAGAACAAGUAGGAGAGUAACUGCUCUUACCUUGACGGUAUCUAACCAGAAAGCCACGGCUAACUACGUGCCAGCAGCCGCGGUAAUACGUAGGUGGCAAGCGUUGUCCGGAUUUAUUGGGCGUAAAGCGAGCGCAGGCGGUCUUUUAAGUCUGAUGUGAAAGCCCUCAGCUCAACCGAGGAAGGUCAUUGGAAACUGGAGGACUUGAGUGCAGAAGAGGAGAGUGGAAUUCCAUGUGUAGCGGUGAAAUGCGUAGAUAUAUGGAGGAACACCAGUGGCGAAGGCGACUCUCUGGUCUGUAACUGACGCUGAGGCUCGAAAGCGUGGGGAGCAAACAGGAUUAGAUACCCGUGUAGUC
rnacentral:rRNA from 1 species